ACGGCUACCUUGUUACGACUUCACCCCAGUCAUCAAUCCCACCUUCGACAGCGCCUUCCUUACGGUUCAGCUACUGGCUUCGGGUGUUACCGACUCCCAUGGUGUGACGGGCGGUGUGUACAAGGCCCGGGAACGUAUUCACCGCAGCAUGCUGAUCUGCGAUUACUAGCAAUUCCGACUUCACGCAGGCGGGUUGCAGCCUGCGAUCCGAACUGAGACACUUUUUCGGGAUUUGCUUCACCUCGCGGUGUCGCUUCCCUCUGUUUUAGUGCCAUUGUAGUACGUGUGUAGCCCAGGUCAUAAGGGGCAUGAUGAUUUGACGUCAUCCCCACCUUCCUCCGUUUUGUCAACGGCAGUCUCAUUAGAGUGCUCUUGCGUAGCAACUAAUAAUAAGGGUUGCGCUCGUUGCGGGACUUAACCCAACAUCUCACGACACGAGCUGACGACAACCAUGCACCACCUGUCUUCCUGCCCCGAAGGGCUUCACCUAUCUCUAAGCUAUUCAGGAGAUGUCAAGACCUGGUAAGGUUCUUCGCGUUG
rnacentral:rRNA from 1 species